AUUACACUGAUGAGAUAAAGCAAAGAAAUGAAAAUAUAAAAUUGGAAAUGAGAAAAUAAAAUGGUCAUAAUUUAUAGAUGAUAGAUAGCAUUGUCUAUUUAAAAAACUUUAUUAAAGUAUAUAGAAAAAUCAUUAGGGUAUAGCUGCUGGAUGUAAGGUAAUAACCAAAAUGAAUAGCAUUUAAAUAGACCAGAAAUGAAAAAAAAUUUUAAAAACUUAUAAUUCCAUGAAAAGAUACCUGGAUACAAAUGUAAACAGAAUGUGUAAGACCUUUAUGGAGAAUAUAGUAAGAUUUUAUUGAAUGAAAAUAAAAUCUUUUAAAUAAAUGAAGAAAAAGACUGGGUUUAUAAGUAGGGAGAUCAAAUACUGGUCUAAUUCUGUCAGUUAAAUCAAUUCACAGAUUGAUUUGUAAAUUCAUGCAAAAUUCCAAGAGCUUUUAAAAAUGAAAUUUGAAAACUUAUUUUAAAAUUUACAAAGGACAAAUUGUAGUUGUAGCUCAGUGGUGGAGUGCUUGCCUCCCAUGUGUGAGGCACUGGGUUCGGUCCUCAGCACCACAUACAAAUAAAUAAAUAAAGGUACUGUGUUUAUCUACAAUUAAAAAAAAUUUAAAAAUUUACAAAGGACAAAGUAUCCUAUAAAGCUGAAAAAGAACAAGUUGGGCGGGGCUUGGUCUAUAUAAUAUAAUAAUUACUGAUGUUAGUGAUAUAGAAUUUGAUGGUAUGGUAGUAGCAUAGAGAAAGAAUAUAGAAGAAUAGAGGCAUAGAAACAGACCUUUAUGGAAACGUAAUAUUUGUCAGAAUGACACUGCACAUUUGUAGGAACAAAGCAAAAAUUUUUACAUAUUGCUGGACAACUAGUUAUUUAUAUGGGAAAAAUGAAAUGGAAUCUGUACUUCUCACUGAUACGAAAACCCAUUUUAGACAAAUGAAAUGCAUAAUAAUUUUAUGUGUUAACCUUAUUCCAAUACUUUAUAUUUUUUACCGCUUUAAUCACGUCAGUUUUCUCUAUUUUUUUUUUUUUUUUAAUAUGAGGAAACAGAGGCAAGCCCUGAAAAAAUGAAGUAAUUUGCCCAGGGUCACAGUAACAGAGCCCUAUAUGAACC
rnacentral:lncRNA from 1 species